UACGUAGGGCGCGAGCGUUGUCCGGAAUUAUUGGGCGUAAAGAGCUCGUAGGCGGCCUGUUGCGUCCGCUGUGAAAUCCCAGGGCUCAACCCUGGGCGUGCAGUGGAUACGGGCAGGCUGGAGGCAGUCAGGGGAGAACGGAAUUCCCGGUGUAGCGGUGAAAUGCGCAGAUAUCAGGAGGAACACCGGUGGCGAAGGCGGAUCUCUGGGCCGUAACUGACGCUGAGGAGCGAAAGCAUGGGGAGCGAACAGG
rnacentral:rRNA from 1 species